AUUUCAUUGCUGUAAUGUGGGGGUAUGUUUCUCUUUACUGAAUACCCAACAAAAUUCCGUUUUGUCAUUCACACUCUUGUUUGUAACGACACUCAAUAUAUUAGCUCCUGCAGUAUAAAAAAUAAACCAUAAAAAAAUGUCCAAGUUACUUUUCUUCUUUAUUGCAAUGGUAGCCAUUAUUUCGAUGAUGGAAUUUGGUGCUGAAGGUUGCACAGGAUAUAUGAAAAGUUGUGAAAAAAAUGACGAAUGCUGUUUUGACCGUUGUCUUCACAAUGUCUUCGGAAGGUACUGCGGAACAGGGUUAUUCGGUUUUUUCUAAAACCAAGUGUGUUACAAGUGUAUUAUUUUAACACACAUUAAAUGUAUUAUAUAUUAACUGUAUCGAUGUAUAAAAAUAAAAUAAAAUCUCUGUACAACCGUACGGAUAAUUAAUA